rnacentral:rRNA from 1 species
GAUGAACGCUAGCGAUAGGCUUAACACAUGCAAGUCGAGGGGCAGCAUGGUCUUAGCUUGCUAAGACUGAUGGCGACCGGCGCACGGGUGCGUAACGCGUAUGCAACUUGCCUCACAGAGGGGGAUAACCCGUCGAAAGACGGACUAAUACCGCGUACACUUGGGAUAGGGCAUCCUAACCCAAGGAAAUGAAAUUCGCUGUGAGAUAGGCAUGCGUCCCAUUAGCUAGUUGGUGAGGUAACGGCUCACCAAGGCGACGAUGGGUAGGGGAACUGAGAGGUUGAACCCCCACACUGGUACUGAGACACGGACCAGACUCCUACGGGAGGCAGCAGUGAGGAAUAUUGGUCAAUGGGCGAGAGCCUGAACCAGCCAAGUCGCGUGAAGGAUGACUGUCUUAUGGAUUGUAAACUUCUUUUAUACGGGAAUAACAAGAGUCACGUGNGACUCCCUGCA